AUCCAUUUUCUGCCACCGAAUACAUUAGCAUGGGAUAAUGGAAUAGGACCCUGUCCUCCUAUUUUCAGUUGGUUUUGGCAGCGCGAGGACUAGGGUAAUGAUUAAUAGGGAUAGUUGGGGGCAUUAAUAUUUAAUUGUCAGAGGUGAAAUUCUUGGAUUUAUGAAAGAUUAACUUCUGCGAAAGCAUCUGCCAAGGAUGUUUUCAUUAAUCAAGAACGAAAGUUAGGGGAUCGAAGACGAUCAGAUACCGUCGUAGUCUUAACCAUAAACGAUGCCGACCAGCGAUUAGGAGACGUUGAAUACAAAACACCACCAUCGGUGCGGUCGUCCUUGGCGUCUGUCCCUCUC
rnacentral:rRNA from 1 species